CCUACGGGCGGCAGCAGUGGGGAAUAUUGGGCAAUGGACGCAAGUCUGACCCAGCAAUGCCGCGUGAAGGAAGAAGGCUUUCGGGUUGUAAACUUCUUUUAAGGGGGAAGAGCAGAAGACGGUACCCCUUGAAUAAGCCACGGCUAACUACGUGCCAGCAGCCGCGGUAAUACGUAGGUGGCAAGCGUUGUCCGGAUUUACUGGGUGUAAAGGGCGUGCAGCCGGUGAGACAAGUCAGAUGUGAAAUCCGCGGGCUCAACCCGCGAACUGCAUUUGAAACUGUUUCCCUUGAGUAUCGGAGAGGUCAUCGGAAUUCCUAGUGUAGCGGUGAAAUGCGUAGAUAUUAGGAAGAACACCAGUGGCGAAGGCGGACUACUGGACGACAACUGACGGUGAGGCGCGAAAGCGUGGGGAGCAAACAGGAUUAGAUACCCCUGUAGUC
rnacentral:rRNA from 1 species